UACGAAGGGGGCUAGCGUUGCUCGGAAUCACUGGGCGUAAAGCGCACGUAGGCGGCUUUUUAAGUCAGGGGUGAAAUCCUGGAGCUCAACUCCAGAACUGCCUUUGAUACUGGGAAGCUUGAGUCCGGAAGAGGUGAGUGGAACUCCUGGUGUAGCGGUGGAAUGCGCAGAUAUCAGGAGGAACACCAAUGGCGAAGGCAGCACUCUGGGACGUGACUGACGCUGAGACGCGAAAGCGUGGGGAGCAAACAGG
rnacentral:rRNA from 1 species